rnacentral:rRNA from 1 species
GGAAUUGACGGGGGCCCGCACAAGCGGUGGAGCAUGUGGUUUAAUUCGAUGAUACGCGAGGAACCUUACCUGGGCUCAAAUGUAUGUUGACGUAUUCUGAAAGGGAUACUUCUUCGGACAAUAUACAAGGUGCUGCAUGGUUGUCGUCAGCUCGUGCCGUGAGGUGUCGGGUUAAGUCCCAUAACGAGCGCAACCCCUAUCAUUAGUUGCCAUCAGGUCAAGCUGGGGACUCUAAUGAAACUGCCUACGCAAGUAGUGAGGAAGGCGGGGAUGACGUCAAAUCAGCACGGCCCUUACGUCCAGGGCUACACACGUGCUACAAUGGCCGAUACAGAGGGCAGCUACCUGGUGACAGGAUGCAAAUCUCCAAAGUCGGUCUCAGUUCGGAUCGGAGUCUGCAACCCGACUCCGUGAAGUUGGAUUCGCUAGUAAUCGCGCAUCAGCCAUGGCGCGGUGAAUACGUUCCCGGGCCUU